UUAUUUUUUUGGAACAUUCGGGGCCUGAACAGCCCUGCCAAACGUAUGGCCGUGCGCUCAUUCAUUUCCUCGACCAACUCCUCCAUUUUAUGCUCGCAAGAAACAAAACUUUCUGUUGUCUCGUCGUCCGUCGUCUUCGAAACACGCGGCCAAUCCUUCCGCAGUUUCCACCUCCUUCCCUCUACGGACACCCGAGGCGGCAUCCUUCUCACCUGGCAGGAUGACCUUGUGUUAGUUUCACAGCCUGCCAUCGGCUCGAACUUCAUCAACACUCUCGUCACCCCCCAUUAUGGUGAAGGAAAUAUGCCCUAG
rnacentral:rRNA from 1 species